AGCAGAGCUUGGAUGCAAAGCCAGCUAGUUCUUGUGGCUUUAAAUCUAGGGCCACUUCCAUUACACUAUGCUGCUACUACAAUGAGGGUAAGAAGGAACAAGCAUUUAUAUAGACUAUAUGCCAGGCACUGUGCUAAGUGCUUUCCACAAAUAUUACCUCAUUUGAUCUUCACAACAACUCUGCCAGCCAACAAGCCACCAUGAUCAAUGCAGGUUGUUAAUGUGUCAUAACAUUAACAAGGAACAAAUCUAAGGAUACCCUCUUUAUUACUUCAGGAAGACACCAGGAAGCUUUAAGAAAACUGGGGUCAGGAAUAAAGACAGUCAGUGUGGCUUACUGGAUUCAGGGGAGCCGGCCCCUGAAGAUGUUCCAGGGCCCCGAAAUUCAGAACUGAAAAUACCUUCCCUCCCCAACUCCGACUGUACCUCAUUUCGGCCCCCGUGGAUCCUGGACCUGGUAAACCUCCGGAGAUCACUUUUGUAGGAGAAUGGACAGAAAGCUGGUUCCUAC